rnacentral:rRNA from 1 species
AUUGAACGCUGGCGGCAUGCCUUACACAUGCAAGUCGAACGGCAGCACGGGUGCUUGCACCUGGUGGCGAGUGGCGAACGGGUGAGUAAUACAUCGGAACGUACCUUAUCGUGGGGGAUAACGCAGCGAAAGCUGUGCUAAUACCGCAUACGCCCUGAGGGGGAAAGCGGGGGAUCGCAAGACCUCGCGCGAUUAGAGCGGCCGAUGCCUGAUUAGCUUGUUGGGGGGGUAAAAGCCCACCAAGGCGACGAUCAGUAGCUGGUCUGAGAGGACGAUCAGCCUCACUGGGACUAAGACACGGCCCAGACUCCUACGGGAGGCAGCAGUGGGGAAUUUUGGACAAUGGGGGCAACCCUGAUCCAGCAAUGCCGCGUGAGUGAAGAAGGCCUUCGGGUUGUAAAGCUCUUUUGUCAGGGAAGAAACACCGGCUCUAACACAGUCCGGGAAUGACGGUACCUGAAGAAUAAGCACCGGCUAACUACGUGCCAGCCGCCGCGGUAA